rnacentral:rRNA from 1 species
GAGGAAUAUUGGUCAAUGGACGGAAGUCUGAACCAGCCAAGUAGCGUGAAGGAUGACUGCCCUAUGGGUUGUAAACUUCUUUUAUAUGGGAAUAAAGUGCGCCACGUGUGGUGUUUUGUAUGUACCAUUAUGAAUAAGCAUCGGCUAACUCCGUGCCAGCAGCCGCGGUAAUACGGAGGAUGCGAGCGUUAUCCGGAUUUAUUGGGUUUAAAGGGAGCGUAGGUGGGCUGGUAAGUCAGCUGUGAAAGUUUGCGGCUCAACCGUAAAAUUGCAGUUGAUACUGUCAGUCUUGAGUACAGUAGAGGUUAGCGGAAUUCGUGGUGUAGCGGUGAAAUGCUUAGAUAUCACGAAGAACUCCAAUUGCGAAGGCAGCUGACUAGACUGUUACUGACACUGAUGCUCGAAAGUGUGGGUAUCAAAC